rnacentral:sRNA from 1 species
UCAACACUACAAGCAGACGCGCGGCGCC